GAUUAACGCUGGCGGCGUGCCUAACACAUGCAAGUCGAGCGGCAGCGAGUUUUACACUGAAUUCUGGAAGCUUCAAGUUGAAAGAGAAGAUUUAUUCAAGAAUUUUGUGUAAAAUGUCGGCGAGCGGCGGACGGCUGAGUAACGCGUGGGAACGUACCCCAAAGUGAGGGAUAACGCAUCGAAAGGUGUGCUAAUACCGCAUAUGGUCUUCGGAUUAAAGCCUUCGGGCGCUUUGGGAACGGCCUGCGUAAGAUUAGAUAGUUGGUGGGGUAAUGGCCUACCAAGUCGACGAUCUUUAACUGGUUUGAGAGGAUGAUCAGUCAGACUGGAACUGAGACACGGUCCAGACUCCUACGGGAGGCAGCAGUGAGGAAUCUUCCACAAUGGGCGAAAGCCUGAUGGAGCAACGCCGCGUGCAGGAUGAAGGCCUUCGGGUUGUAAACUGCUUUUAUAAGUGAGGAUUAUGACAGUAACUUAUGAAUAAGGAUCGGCUAACUACGUG
rnacentral:rRNA from 1 species